rnacentral:rRNA from 1 species
GUGCCAGACUCCUACGGGAGGCAGCAGUGGGGGAUAUUGCACAAUGGGGGAAACCCUGAUGCAGCGACGCCGCGUGGGUGAAGAAGUAUUUCGGUCUGUAAAGCCCUAUCAGCAGGGAAGAAAGAAGACGGUACCUGACUAAGAAGCCCCGGCUAACUACGUGCCAGCAGCCGCGGUAAUACGUAGGGGGCGAGCGUUAUCCGGAUUCACUGGGUGUAAAGGGAGCGUAGACGGCCGUGCAAGCCAGGAGUGAAAGCCCGGGGCCCAACCCCGGGACUGCUCUUGGAACUGUGCGGCUAGAGUGCGGGAGGGGCAGGCGGAAUUCCUGGUGUAGCGGUGAAAUGCGUAGAUAUUAGGAGGAACACCAGUGGCGAAGGCGACUUUCUGGACUGUACCUGACGCUGAGGCGCGAAAGCGUGGGUAGCGAACGGGAUUAGAUACCCGUGUACU